rnacentral:rRNA from 1 species
AGAGUUUGAUCCUGGCUCAGAGUGAACGCUGCCGGCGUGCUUAACACAUGCAAGUCGAACGAGAACGGUCUUUCGGGACGUCAGCUAAGUGGCGCACGGGUGAGUAACGGAUAGCUAACAUGCCUUUUGGAGAGGGAUAACUACUGGAAACGGUAGCUAAUACCUCAUACUCCAUAUCUUUAUAAUUAGAUAUGGGAAAUAAUUUUUUGCCAAAAGAUUGGGCUAUCCUCUAUCAGCUAGUUGGUAAGGUAAAAGCUUACCAAGGCUAUGACGGAUAACUGGUUUGAGAGGAUGAUCAGUAACACUGGAACUGAGACACGGUCCAGACUCCUACGGGAGGCAGCAGUGGGGAAUAUUGCACAAUGGAGGAAACUCUGAUGCAGCAACGCCGCGUGGAGGAUGACGCAUUUCGGUGUGUAAACUCCUUUUAUAAGAGAAGAUUAUGACGGUAUCUUAUGAAUAAGCACCGGCUAACUCCGUGCCAGCAGCCGCGGUAAUACGGAGGGUGCAAGCGUUACUCGGAAUCACUGGGCGUAAAGAACACGUAGGCGGAUUUUUAAGUCUUGAGUGAAAGCCUAUGGCUCAACCAUAGAACUGCUUGAGAAACCGAAAAUCUAGAAUCUGGAAGAGGUAGAUGGAAUUAGUAGUGUAGGGGUAAAAUCCGUAGAUAUUACUAGGAAU